rnacentral:sRNA from 1 species
CCUCGGGCAGCGUCAGCAUCGAGGAGAUCGACCUGGAGGGCAAGUUUGUGCAGCUCAAGAACAACUCGGACAAGGAUCAGUCUCUGGGGAACUGGAGAAUCAAGAGGCAGGUCUUGGAGGGGGAGGAGAUGGCCUACAAGUUCACGCCCAAGUACAUCCUGCGCGCCGGCCAGAUGGUCACGGUGUGGGCAGCUGGUGCGGGGGUGGCCCACAGUCCCCCCUCGACGCUGGUGUGGAAGGGCCAGAGCAGUUGGGGCACGGGCGAGAGCUUCCGCACCGUCCUGGUUAACGCGGAUGGCGAGGAAGUGGCCAUGAGGACCGUGAAGAAGUCCUCGGUGAUGCGUGAGAAUGAGAAUGGGGAGGAGGAGGAGGAGGAAGCCGAGUUUGGCGAGGAGGAUCUUUUCCACCAACAGUGAGCCUCCGACGCUGUUGCACAAGCUGACUCUUCGUCACGUGAUGCGACCGGGCUCCGCCCCGGCGGCAGCACGCUGUAUAGACGCGCCGGGUGCUUCGUGCGCAUGCGCGGCAGGCCCUUCGGGAAGAGCUGGAGGCAGAGCGUGAGUACAAAGUGAUCGGCCUCGGCCGCACGCAGUAGCCCCCCUACUCCCCGGCCAAGUCAGGGCCGCCCUCUUCCCGCGGAGUCGCAACCACGGGUAGCUCGUGUAGGUAACGGCAGGUCCAGGCCUCCGCAUAAGCGGAGGGCCCCCCGCGCGACCUUGAAUGGCCCGGGCGCGCGCGGUCGUGUGGGAGUUGUAGUCCUCCGUCCCCG